GGACUGGAGUCUGCAACCCGACUCCACGAAGCUGGAUUCGCUAGUAAUCGCGCAUCAGCCACGGCGCGGUGAAUACGUUCCCAGGCCUUGUACACACCGCCCGUCAAGCCAUGGGAGCCGGGGGUACCUGAAGUGCGUAACCGCGAGGAUCGCCCUAGGGUAAAACUGGUGACUGGGGCUAAGUCGUAACAAGGUAUC
rnacentral:rRNA from 1 species